GAUGAACGCUGGCGGCGUGCCUAAUACAUGCAAGUCGAGCGAACAGACGAGGAGCUUGCUCCUCUGACGUUAGCGGUGGACGGGUGAGUAACACGUGAAUAACCUACCUAUAAGACUGGGAUAACUUCGGGAAACCGGAGCUAAUACCGGAUAACAUGUUGAACCGCAUGGUUCAACAGUGGAAGACGGUCUUGCUGUCACUUAUAGAUGGAUCCGCGCCGCAUUAGCUAGUUGGUAAGGUAACGGCUUACCAAGGCAACGAUGCGUAGCCGACCUGAGAGGGUGAUCGGCCACACUGGAACUGAGACACGGUCCAGACUCCUACGGGAGGCAGCAGUAGGGAAUCUUCCGCAAUGGGCGAAAGCCUGACGGAGCAACGCCGCGUGAGUGAAGAAGGUCUUCGGAUCGUAAAACUCUGUUAUUAGGGAAGAACAAUGUGUAAGUAACUAUGCACGUCUUGACGGUACCUAAUCAGAAAGCCACGGCUAACUACGUGCCAGCCGCCGCCGUAA
rnacentral:rRNA from 1 species